rnacentral:rRNA from 1 species
UACAGAGGGGGCAAGCGUUGUUCGGAAUUACUGGGCGUAAAGCGCACGUAGGCGGCUUUGUAAGUUAGAGGUGAAAGCCCGGGGCUCAACUCCGGAAUUGCCUUUAAGACUGCAUCGCUAGAAUUGUGGAGAGGUAAGUGGAAUUCCGAGUGUAGAGGUGAAAUGCGUAGAUAUCGGGAGGAACACCAGUGGCGAAGGCGACUACCUGGCCUGUUCUUGACGCUGAGGCGCGAAAGAUAGGGGAGCAAACGGG